rnacentral:rRNA from 1 species
GACGGAGGAUGCAAGUGUUAUCCGGAAUCACUGGGCGUAAAGCGUCCGUAGGUGGUCAAAUAAGUCAACUGUUAAAUCUUGAGGCUCAACCUCAAAAUCGCAGUCGAAACUAUUAGACUAGAGUAUAGUAGGGGUAAAGGGAAUUUCCAGUGGAGCGGUGAAAUGCGUAGAGAUUGGAAAGAACACCGAUGGCGAAGGCACUUUACUGGGCUAUUACUAACACUCAGAGACGAAAGCUAGGGUAGCAAAUGGG